UAGCAAUGGCGCGCCACUGUGUUUAAAUUUCAGGCAAAAAGCAGCAGUUUUCAUGCAUUUUAUUCCUCUCACAUUCUUCCCAAACCUCGGACAAAACGCCGAACUUCUAAAUUGAAAACCCCGCUGCCGUUCCAGAAUCUGGAUCAAUUAUUAACAAUCAGGUGAGGCGCACAUCUGCGGGCGUACCUAAUUCAGUGCGCCGCGUGGGUCAUCAUCCGUUUGAGCUCGGCCUCCCGGCGCAAAUGCCACACGUGGAUGAGAGGAUACAUUGCGUGCGACAUUUAAAAGGAGUCAUUACCACGUGUCCAUUGUCGGCAUCGCCCCGUGUCCUAUAAUGAGAAGAUGAGCUGAAUGACCGGAGGGCGGUGGGUGAGAGGGGGCAACGGCAACGGGAACAUUGCUCAUGGGCAUGUGUGACUGUGUUGUGUGGUCUGCGCCACGUGUAUUAAGUGGCAGAUUGGGCUAAGAGAGGAAGCGUCGGAAUACUGACUCACGAAGAAGUGCCACAUUUGGCACCUCACUUUUCGAAAUAGACAUAUCGGGCCGCUACUUGAAAGAGGAAGGCAGAAAUAUCACAUGAAUUGCGGCGGCCAACUGGAGGUUUACGUCGCACCGUGUCCGACCGUGCUUGUGCGCGCGGGUUUGUUCUUGUUCAAGUUUGAUCGCAAUUUUGAGAAGUGUUUUCCUCCACUAAAGAUAAAGAGAGCGCAGAAAUUCAGUUUAGCCGGUUUGCAUCCAAAUUGAGAUUUUAUACAAAGAAAAAAGUAAAUGAAUCCGUUCUCUGGAGGAAGAAAUGCUAUUUUCAAAUGUAAUUCCACAGAAAUUUUUAAAAAUAUAACCGCAAUUUUUUUUCCCACAUUAUUUCACGUUAUAUAACAUUUAAAUUUCAGUGAAUAAUUGAAUUGGUAUGGUUUAGAUUCUUUUAAUUUUUGGAUAGCUUGGUAGAUUUUUUUUUCAUAUCGUUUGACCUUUUUUAUCACAUUUCAAAGAAUAAUGUAACCACAGCCUUAGUGCGGUAGAUGUUUUAUGUAAUUUUAUUUUGCAUUACAUUACCAUAGAUAGCACCGAACGCAUGAAGGGCUACGUGACCUGUUUGUGGCAGCCUUCCAAAAUAUACUUAUACUUUACAAGUAUAUCAAUACUUUAUUUACAACAUUUAAAAAUUGUCAUUAAUGUAAGCAAGUCAGAUUUAAAAGCACGAGUAAUCAUCAUAACAAUUUGUUACCUGUGCUGUCUUUACAACAUGCCUCACGGACCUCUUAAGUGGUAACCUCGUACAACCAUGCGCCCCCACAGCAGCGUGUUGGUAACCCCUGCCGUGGAUAAUGGAACCACUGAGUUAUACUACAUUGCAUAUUAUAUUUAAAUGCAAAAAGUAACCACUGUUUAUUAAUUUACCGUCAUUUCCUAACCUAGCAACAACACGGUAGCACGAACACGGCCGGUUUAAAAAAAAAAAAAAAAAAAAAAAAAAACAUACCUAAAUCACUGAGACGUGGCAGCAACACGGUAGCGCGGUGCUAACGCUAGUGCAGCGCUAACAGGACUGGUCAAAAGAAAAAAAUACCGGUAAAAGUCACUUCCUCGGCACAUAUAUUCCACCGGUCUCACUCACUCUUACCUUCUUCAUUCAAGUGGCCCAUUUGCGGCUCUUAGAAGAAAAAUGCACAAAUU